UAAGGAAUAUUGGUCAAUGGGGGCAACCCUGAACCAGCCAUGCCGCGUGCAGGACGACUGCCCUAUGGGUUGUAAACUGCUUUUGCCGGGGAAUAAACCCCACUACGUGUAGUGGGCUGAACGUACCCGGAGAAUAAGGAUCGGCUAACUCCGUGCCAGCAGCCGCGGUAAUACGGAGGAUCCGAGCGUUAUCCGGAUUUAUUGGGUUUAAAGGGUGCGUAGGCGGCACUUUAAGUCAGGGGUGAAAGACGGCAGCUCAACUGUCGCAGUGCCCUUGAUACUGAAGUGCUUGAAUGCGGUUGAAGACGGCGGAAUGAGACAAGUAGCGGUGAAAUGCAUAGAUAUGUCUCAGAACACCGAUUGCGAAGGCAGCUGUCUAAGCCGUUAUUGACGCUGAUGCACGAAAGCGUGGGGAUCGAACAGG
rnacentral:rRNA from 1 species